rnacentral:rRNA from 1 species
AUUGAACGCUGGCGGAAUGCUUUACACAUGCAAGUCGAGCGGCAGCGCGGGGGCAACCCUGGCGGCGAGCGGCGAACGGGUGAGUAACGCAUCGGAACGUACCUUGUAGUGGGGGAUACCUAUCCGAAAGGAUAGCUAAUACCGCAUACGCCCUGAGGGGGAAAGGGGGGGAUCGCAAGACCUCUCGCUACAGGAGCGGCCGAUGUCCGAUUAGCUAGUUGGUGAGGUAAAGGCUCACCAAGGCGACGAUCGGUAGCUGGUCUGAGAGGAUGAUCAGCCACACUGGGACUGAGACACGGCCCAGACUCCUACGGGAGGCAGCAGUGGGGAAUUUUGGACAAUGGGGGGCAACCCUGAUCCAGCCAUUCCGCGUGAGUGAAGAAGGCCUUCGGUUGUAAGACUCUUUCUAGCCGGGAAGGAAAUACGUCUUGGAUAAUACCUCGAGGCGGAUGACGGUACCGGAAGAAGAAGCACCGGC